UACGAAGGGGGCUAGCGUUGCUCGGAAUCACUGGGCGUAAAGGGUGCGUAGGCGGGUCUUUAAGUCGGGGGGGAAAUCCUGGAGCUCAACUCCAGAACUGCCUUCGAUACUGGAGAGCUCGAGUCCGGGAGAGGUGAGUGGAACUGCGAGUGUAGAGGUGAAAUUCGUAGAUAUUCGCAAGAACACCAGUGGCGAAGGCGGCUCACUGGCCCGAUACUGACGCUGAGGCACGAAAGCGUGGGGAGCAAACAGG
rnacentral:rRNA from 1 species